AUGAAUUUAAGGAUGCUCUUUUUAGAGAUCCGAACAAUCAUUACCUUUCUACUCUGUGCACACACUACUUUUUACACCCAAUUUUUUUUAACACUAUUAGUAAUAAGAAUGUAUAUCAGUCUCUUAAUUGAGCACAAAACAAAU
rnacentral:misc_RNA from 1 species